UACUGCGCGUAGGCGCUUUCGUCAAAAAUAAGAACAAAACAAAAUUAGAUUUCGAGCGAAACAUACAACAGGUGAAAACUGGUUUGUUGUUUUGUUUGAUUCCUAUCGCCAUUUACAGCAGUUGUUAGUUCUAUGACUCAGCGCAACCUCGUGACGUGACGACAUGUCAGUUUCACGUCAUCCCUCAUCAACUUUGACUUAGUUAUGCGUGCGUGAAGUUAAAGGGUCCAAUCAGUGCGCGAAUCAAACCGAACAGCACGAUACACGAUGGCAACCAGCGUGCCAAAAAAACAAACGAACACAUCCACCUUUUACUUAAGACUGAACUUCAUGAAUACAGAACACUACGAGCUCGGUACAUUUGUGGCAGGUAGGCCUGAUUGAACAUUAAUGUUAUACUCAAAUUCGUGUCGUUGAAAUUUUAUUUAACGUUAUACCUUUAUCACUUUAAUUUGAUUUUUGUAUUCACAAUAUACCCUGAGAAGCUGGCAACCUUCCCCGCAUUUUUAAAAUGGUUUGGAACAGCUAAGUUUAAUUGCAUCAUCCGCCCAGCACCAAAUCGAAAUUUAGCAUGACUGAAAUUGUUCUCGUUUUGUUUCUCGUCACAACGUUACCCUGACGACUGUUGAAGUAACAAAAAGCUUCUUUUCCUUCUCGAUUUGGCAUGUAUGUAGCGGAGCUGGCCGCCGUCAACUCCACUGUUGCAUAUGUCUUGCACAAUCGAGACUGUAAUUUGUAAAACAUUCGCAUCAUUCACAGAAGAAUGAAGGGACUCGUCCGCGUGAUAUUCUUGUUAUCGGUCGUGACGGGACUCGUUUCCAGUUAUUUGACUUCGAUCGAAGGCAAAAAUUUGCCCCAGGUGCCCCCUGUCAAGAAUUCAAUUUAUUUCUAAUUUACGACCAACCUAAAUAAAUAUAGCAUGUGCAACUUUUUUCAAUACCAACAAAUCAACAAUUCAUAAUUUAAGCAAAACUAGAGCUUUUUACUUUUAGUACAUAUUCGAAUAAAAGCAUGUUAUGCUUGAAGCUAGGGGAAAUGUACAUACUAAAAGAUACUAAAAACUAGGCCACCACUAUACAGGGUUUCCUCAGCUAAUCGUGAUUGGGGAUAAAGACUCUUAUUUUCAUUAUGGGAAUCUAUUCGAUUACAGUGUUUUUUUUCUCGUCUUCUAAAUAAUUGGAAUUCAAAAGUAAUUAAGCUCUGCUUCGCUGUAUAAGUAUGAAACUAUUUGGCAACAAAUUCUAAAGAAAUAUAUAAUGAAUAAACAUCUAAUACUGGCUAUGUGUUUCAGCCAUGUGCGAUAAUAGAAUCCAAUCAAUAUGGAUAUUAAUGAAGCAACUUUUCGGAGU